rnacentral:rRNA from 1 species
UACGUAGGGUGCGAGCGUUAAUCGGAAUUACUGGGCGUAAAGCGUGCGCAGGCGGUUUUGUAAGUCAGAUGUGAAAUCCCCGGGCUCAACCUGGGAAUUGCAUCUGUGACUGCAUAGCUAGAGUACGGUAGAGGGGGAUGGAAUUCCGCGUGUAGCAGUGAAAUGCGUAGAUAUGCGGAGGAACACCGAUGGCGAAGGCAAUCCCCUGGACCUGUACUGACGCUCAUGCACGAAAGCGUGGGGAGCAAACAGG